rnacentral:pre_miRNA from 1 species
AAGACACCCUUAAGGGCAAGACUUGCUUCAGUGGGGCUUUGGUGCUCACUGAGUCUGCCCCCUGAGUGUCCCUUA